GUGAAAUGCAAAUCUCCACGGUCCCUAUGC
rnacentral:piRNA from 1 species